UACGUAGGGUGCAAGCGUUGUCCGGAAUUAUUGGGCGUAAAGAGCUCGUAGGCGGUUUGUCGCGUCUGCUGUGAAAACUCGGGGCUUAACUCCGGGCCUGCAGUGGGUACGGGCAGACUAGAGUGCGGUAGGGGAGACUGGAAUUCCUGGUGUAGCGGUGAAAUGCGUAGAGAUCCGGAAGAACACCGGUGGCGAAGGCGGUCUGCUGGGCAGUAGCUGACGCUGAUGCGCGACAGCGUGGGGAGCAAACAGG
rnacentral:rRNA from 1 species